UUGCAAGCCUUCCAGCAUGCUUGGGUCUAGGGUGACUCAGUGCAUUCCUGCAAUGUUUGCUAGAAUGUUCUGCAAUGUCUUGAGGCUUUGCCCUGGCCCUUCCUUGGAGCAUGGUCAUAGACAUUUCAGACCGUC
rnacentral:snoRNA from 1 species